rnacentral:tRNA from 1 species
AAGAAUUUAAGUUAAUUAAAACUAUUAACCUUCAAAGUUAAUUUUAGGAAGCACCCCUAAUUCUUA